rnacentral:lncRNA from 1 species
UGGAGCACCCCUGCAGGGUUAAAAUCAUUUUGAGAACCGUGCCCGUUGUUAUGUGAUAACUUGGAAAGUUUGUUUAACAUGCGGUCAUAGCAAACUUGAAGUAAACUCAACUAAAAUAUGACAACUGUGUGUGUAACCGUGACUAUCCCUUCUCAUGAGUUCCUGAUCCGAGAGAGGACACGGUGGGGUUAUGUUUUACUCGUAAGUAGGUGUUCAAGAUCAUUUCUUGAUCAUUUAGUUCAUGUCCGUUUAUGCGUAGAUCACCCCCUUAUUAUUCUUGUACUCGUAAGUUAGCCACUCAAAUAAAUGCUUAGUAC